AUUCGCCAGAGAUGGCUUAGUGCCUUCGGGAACCGUGAGACAGGUGCUGCAUGGCUGUCGUCAGCUCGUGUUGUGAAAUGUUGGGUUAAGUCCCGCAACGAGCGCAACCCUUAUCCUUUGUUGCCAGCACGUAAUGGUGGGAACUCAAAGGAGACUGCCGGUGAUAAACCGGAGGAAGGUGGGGAUGACGUCAAGUCAUCAUGGCCCUUACGAGUAGGGCUACACACGUGCUACAAUGGCAUAUACAAAGAGAAGCGAACUCGCGAGAGCAAGCGGACCUCAUAAAGUAUGUCGUAGUCCGGAUUGGAGUCUGCAACUCGACUCCAUGAAGUCGGAAUCGCUAGUAAUCGUAGA
rnacentral:rRNA from 1 species